CCCCUGCUUGAAGCAGUCUGAAAACCUAUAAAACAUGUUUGAUAAGUAACCAAGGCAAGCAAUGAUGGCCCAACUUCAUCACAUCCAUGUCCCUGAAAGUCAGUUGUUGGUACAGCCUCAGUGGACUCCUUACUCUAGAACAGGGGUGGCCAACAUGAGGCUCUCUGGCUAAUGUUGGACUACAACUCCCAUCAUCCUCAGCUACAGCUGAAAAGCCUAAGGUUGACCACCACUGCCGGAGGGGAUUGUAAUGUACUUGCUAGCUCCGUUACCUUCAUUAUUUUUCAAGUGUUAGAGCCAUUUCUUACUGUGCUGAACUCCACACAGAGUACUGUGCUUUUUUAGUGCUUCCAGGAGGGCCCUUUAAGAAAGAUGGUAUCCUCUCAAGAGCUCUAGGAGGGAAAGCACUGGGAAGAGCUACACUUCCGGGCUUCAAGGAGAUCUCUCCAAACUGGACUUCUGAAAGGUAUACAGUGUACUGUGCUUGAUUGGCCAGCAAACUCGCCUGACCUGACCCCAUAGAGAAUCUAUGGGGCAUUGCCAAGAGAAGGAUGAGAGACAUGAGACCAAACAAUGCAGAAGAGCUGAAGGCCGCUAAUGAAGCAUCCUGGUCUUCCAUAAUACCUCAUCAGUGCCACAGGCUGAUAGCAUCCAUGCCACGCCGCAUUGAGGCAGUAAUUGCGGCAAAAGGGGCCCAAACCAAGUACUGAAUACAUAUGCAUGCUUAUACUUUUCAGAGGUCCGAUAUUGUUCUAUUCUUCAAUCCUUGUCUUCUUGGUUCCAUGUAAUAUUCUAAUUUUCUGAGAUUGUGGAUUUGGGGUUUUCAUGAGCUGUACGCCAUGAUCAUCACAAUUAUAACAAAUUAAGGCUUGACUUAUCUCGCUUUGCAUGUAAUGCGUCUGUCUCAUAUAUCAGUUUCACCUUUUAAUUUGCAUUACUGAAAUUAAUGGACUUUUGCACGAUAUUCUAAUUUUCCGAGUUUCACCUGUAUAUGCUACUUGAUUUAAAAUAUUUGUAUAUAAAAAAGGCAGACACCUUACCUGAAGGAACAGGAGAGGGGAAGCUUACCAGAUGAACCUUUUGUAAUCACUGUUAACAAUGUUACAUUUGCCUUUACCCUAACUAGCAAGAAAAAUCUAUCUUCUAUAUAUUUAAUUCUCUAAGGCAUACUCAUGGCUAAUGCCAUGAGUGGCAGCUCUCGUGACAAUUCGCAAGCAGCUGCCAGAUAGCCAAGGGUAUGCUGCCGCCGGUGAAGGAACGUGCCGCUGCCGGGCCUGCGGGUGGAGAAGACAAGCACCGGGUGCCAGCCAGGCCAGUGGGUAGGGAGGGAAGGGAAAACCGACUGGGAGGGGAAGAACAGACUGUAGCUGAAGGAGCGUGGAGAGGAGAACGUACUGAGGCUGAAGGGAGGAAGGAGAGACAGGGAGGACUAGGGGCACAGAUGCUCUGCGCCAGGUCAGCUAGUGUGUGAGUGUAUAUAUAAAUAAAACUAGUGGGCCCGGGCCCCUAGUUGAGCCCAGCCGUUUUUGCCAGCCGCCUACUCCCACUGGCUGCCUCCUCCAUCCGGCCAGGCAACCAGCCUCCUCCGGCAACUGGAUGCCAGCGUAGCUCCGCCCGCCACCUUGGCUCCACUGGCCCCCAUUGCUAUUUUCUGUCCUGCUCGUGAACUCUCGCGAGAUUUCCACCAUUCCUUUUUCCCAGCACAUCUUGGAGAAAUAAGUAUAUAGAAGAUACACUAAUGUAGUAUGUGGCAAGCCCUGCCCACACAGUGCUUUACCAACCAGAGGUAAUAUAACAGAUGCACCGUGGUUGGGCCGUGGGGAUUCCAUGUGCAGAUAGGGAAGAGGAGCAGGGAUGGGGCAAGUGGGUGAGCGAGUGAGUGGGGAGGGGGUGAUAAGUCCUAGUGCACAGAUGAUCUGUGCGGGUUCAACUCGUAUUAGUGGUUACAUGGAACCAAUAGUAGAACUCCUGCUGCCCUAAAGUGGAAUUCACCUCAAUACAUCCUAGCUGCCCAGUGGAAGACUGCUUGGCCUCCUACUCACUUUUCCUUUGUCCAGCCACAGUAGUAGCUCAAGUAGUAGCCCCAGUCAUUGACUUCCCCCUCCAGUUAUUGCUUCCAUCACCAAAGAAGCCAAGUGUCUCCAGCAGUAUGUAUUCAGGGCACAGCAAAGUGCUCUUAAGUUCCAGAAGCAUUUCCCUACAGUUAGGUUGGUCAAGGGCAGGGCUGCCAUUUCAGGCACCUGUGAUGGGAGGAGCCAUAGACUUGAACAUGUGUGAAGGAGGCUCUCAGGAUAAUUUAAAUUUAAAUUCCCGCUUUUGGGUAGGUUCAAGAUGAAGUUGCAAAAAUAUCUCCUAGCAAUUACAGCACAGUGUUAUCAACCGACAUCAAAGUUGUCCCUUUUUGAAAGUAAGGGCAUUUCUGCUUUUGACAGGUAUGCAUACACCCACUUAAUUAUUCUUAUCUACAAGAGGCACAGCAUGUAGAACCAAUGGCCAACAAUCUGUGCAAUAGAACACUAGCAUUGGGGACUUACCUGGGCUGCUGCACACCCCUAGUUACAUGUGGGUUUACAAACUAUAUCUUUGGCAUUCGAUUUGUGGAGGAAAACUGACCAGUACUCUGCACAGCUGAACACUGGCAUGUGGGCACUUGCGUUGUGCUACUUCUUUUAUUUCCUAGGGAAGUAGCACUGCCCAUGUGCUCUUUGAGAUCAGCAUAGCACUUCCUGCCUCCACUGAAUUUCAUGUUGCACAACAGCCCCAGCAGGUUUCUGAUGCCAAUGUUCUGCAGGAUAAAAUGGUGGCCAGUGGUUGUUGGGUUUUUUUAAUAAAUAAAAAAUGCCAGAGA